CCAGGGCGCACUCGUCCCGCCUCCUGCGGGCACGAAGCCAGCAGUGCCCACCGAACCAUCUCGCUCCAGGUCCAAGAGGAACCUCCGGCCGCCCGCGUAGACGAGAGCAACCACUUAUCGCCAUAGGCCUUGACCUGCCUUCAUUCUCAGAAAUUCCUUUUAGAAGAAAAAGAAUACUUUCGGCGGAAGGAAGAUUGGUGCUUAUUAGUACGCGGGUGGCAUUAUCACUGCUACUCAUUUUCUCUGACCUCUUUGUUUCCUCUAAUUACCAUUCUAAGAAGGGAGAAGGAAAACCCCACGACUUAUGAUUAGAAGGUCUACCGUCUACUGUAGGGUUAAGGUUGUAUCUUAACAUCGCCUUGCUCAAGCUCUAGAAUAUUACCAUCUUCCUCAAAACUAUUUGGUCUCUCCAUGUUAGAUAUAUUCUUCUGGUAAAUAAGGAAGAAACUCAUAGAAGAGAAAUAAUAUGUUUAAUAAAGAAAAUACUGGCCUAUGUUACAAGAAAAUACUUUCCCAAGUAUUCAUCCAUGAGAUGGGUAAGAAAACACCAGGAAUUAUGGAAGCCAAGGAUAAACUGACUCAUCUACUUUUGUGGCAAUGCAGCAUAUUUUGGGAUUAAGACUCACUUGUUUUCCUGUUCUGCCAUUUCCCAAUAUUAAGGAACUUGAAUAGGAACUCGCUGAAUGUUUAUUGACAUUCCAUUAAAAAGAGCAUAAGACACAGCCAAAAUUUUUUUUCCUUCAAAAAUGUCCACAAGUACGUUGAGCUAAGGCGGUAUUUUAAAACAUGUGGGUUCUCAAUAUUUUCUUGACAUGUCUGUAAGAGUAGGAGAGCAUAUUUUCUCUUUCUUUAUAUGUCUAUUGACCAAGGAGAAAUAAACUUCCAUCCUCUAGAAAGCAGUGAAUCUCAAAUAUUUUGGGACCCUUUUAUGCCUUUAAAAACUCUCAAGGACGCCCAGAACUUUUGUUUAUGUAGAUUAUAUCUGCUAAUAUUUACCGCACUAGAAAUUACAACUGAAAAAAUAAAUAUUUGUUAAUAACAA